UAGGGAAUCUCCCACAAUGGACGAAAGUCUGAUGGAGCAACGCCGCGUGAGUGAAGAAGGUUUUCGGAUCGUAAAGCUCUGUUGUUGGUGAAGAAGGAUAGAGGCAGUAACUGGUCUUUAUUUGACGGUAAUCAACCAGAAAGUCACGGCUAACUACGUGCCAG
rnacentral:rRNA from 1 species